UCCGAGCGUCAUUACAACCCUCAGGCCCCCGGGCCUGGUGUUGGGGAUCGGCGGAGCCCUCCGGGGCACACGCCGUCCCCCAAAUUCAGUGGCGGUCUCGCUGCAGCCUCCAUUGCGUAGUAGCUAACACCUCGCAACUGGAAGGCGGCGCGGCCACGCCGUAAAACCCCCCAACUUCUGAAUGUUGACCUCGGAUCAGGUAGGAAUACCCGCUGAACUUAAGCAUAUCAAUAAGCGGAGGAAAAGAAACCAACAGGGAUUGCCUCAGUAACGGCGAGUGAAGCGGCAACAGCUCAAAUUUGAAAUCUGGCUCUCGGGCCCGAGUUGUAAUUUGUAGAGGAUGCUUUUGGUGCGGUGCCUUCCGAGUUCCCUGGAACGGGACGCCAUAGAGGGUGAGAGCCCCGUCUGGUUGGAUGCCAAUCCUCUGUAAAGCUCCUUCGACGAGUCGAGUAGUUUGGGAAUGCUGCUCUAAAUGGGAGGUAUAUGUCUUCUAAAGCUAAAUACCGGCCAGAGACCGAUAGCGCACAAGUAGAGUGAUCGAAAGAUGAAAAGAACUUUGA
rnacentral:rRNA from 1 species